rnacentral:snoRNA from 1 species
AUUCCAUGAUGGGGACAUUCUAGGAUGUAGUCUUGAAAACGCUCCCAUGCUUCUAGAAAGGAUUCAUCAUUUUGUUGCUGAAAACUUGUAAUCUUCCCGGAAGUGU